rnacentral:sRNA from 1 species
GGUUCAUCCUGCAUAUCUCGGCGUCCUCUGGAGUUGGCUGGCUGUGCAUCCUGCCUCACUGUCCAGGACAACUGGACUCUGGAGCUUGAAAGCUCCCAGGACAUCCAAGAUGUGCUGGAUGCAAACAAGGCAUUGCCUGAAUCCUCACUGACCGACCUGCUCAGUGACAAUUUCACAGAUUCCUUGGUGUCUUUCUCCGCUGAGAUUUUGUCACGGACACUAUGUGAACCCCUUGUGGCGUCUCUCUGGAUGAAACUGGGGAACACGGGGACCAUGAGAAGGACUCCUUCCAGGAGCCCGGGUCCACUUUAGCCAGUUGGAGAAAAGGGUUUCCAGGUCCUGAGUUUUCCCCCUGAGACCACCAUCAGCAUUCCCCUGCCCCCCAUCUACCUGGCUGAACUUCGGCAGGGUGGUCAGUCCCCAUUCCAGGCCACUACCUCUUGCCAUAUCGUCUCUGUCUUCAGCCUUCAGCUCUUCUGGGUGUGUGCUUAUUGUACCAGCAUCUGCCGGCAGGUAAGGGAGGGAAGGAACAGGCUGAACUGGGUAUGGCGUGCCAGAGGGAUGUGAUGGGACCAAGAGGACUUUUCCAACCACUGUCUUCAUCCCAGGGAAAGUGCACUCGCCUGGGCCCCACUUGCCCUACACAGACAGCUGUAAGCCAGGCCAUCAUCAGGCUCCUGGUGGAGGAUGGGACUGCCGAAGCCGUGGUGACCUGUAGGAAUCACCAUGUGGCAGCAGCACUAGGGCUGUGUCCUAGAGAGUGGGCCUCCCUCCUAGAGUU